UACAUUUUGCUUCCACAAAGAACCGAUAAGAUUCUUAUUUAAUUUUUUCUUCAUGUGAGGAACAUUUUAAUUAUCCGAAGAACCUUUUUCAACUAUGAAGUGCAAUGAAGAGGUUGCAUGGAUGUUAAAAGUUCUUCAUGGAACCAUCAAUGCCAAUAAAUAACCUUUGUUUUUAGGAGUGUUAUGUGUGUUUUCAUGAAUUCAUGCAUUUGUGUUGUGGCGUAUGCACAUGCUCUGGUCAGCAUCUCUUCUGUUCUCUAAAUCCUCUCCUGUGUUUUGCUCUCUCUAGCACAAUACCACCAGUUGCCCUACUGGGUCACACAUAAAAAAAGGUUUUUACUCUGUGGACAUGGGACCAUGUGAUCAGAACAGAGAGCACAGGAGAAGAGAACAGUAGGGUCACUGGCUCUACCUGGAGGCGUCCUCUGUCCCUGCAAUCAAAAACUAGUAUGGCAUCCAAACUCUCUCAGAGACCAAACUCGGAUGUCAACAGACAUCACAAGGACAAGAAUCUUAUAACAAAUGCAUGGCAUAGUAUGACCACAGCGUUCCAUCAGAUAUCAGAGAAUGAAGCGAGAGAUUCCAGCCAUCCUCAGUCAUUUCUCGGCCAACAGAGAUUGUCUGCUGCUCUCAGGAGGGUCCAGCUCAGCAAAGACAAAUAAUAAAAAAUAAUAAUAUAAACCUUAUUGCAUAUUACGAAUCAUAUAGUGCACAGGGCAUUGGUGAGACACAAAGUCAUUGGCUCCACCUGCUGGACACUGAAUGCGUUUACAUGCACAAUUAUGCUGAUAGACUGUAAUUAUUAUAUAUACAUACACUGAGUAAAUAUGCAAAAAAGAAAAUGUCAGAAAAUAACUUCAUAACAUAACCAAACCAAGUUUUUCCAGAUAGCGUAUUGUCCUCUGGUAUUAUCUGAUCAUAUUUCAGUCUUCUGCAAACACACCUGUGAGAUUUCGCGUCUUAGGCUGUAGCUUUUUUUUUAUUCUAUGGUAAAAAUGUAAUUGUUUUAUUUUAAGUGCAAAACAACCAAUGAUUUUUAGAGUGGGUUUUUUGUCUUUAUUUAGCAAUAGCCUAUUAUUACAAGCCAAAAAUGGAUUUGUUGUUUGGAUUGUUCAAUUAUAUAUAAUGGAAAAUUUCGUUUGGUCCUCAUGAAGUGUUUUGAAAAUUUAAACGUGGAUCUUUGAUGAAAGAUUAAAUUGUAUUAUUAUGUGGCUCAGUCCAAAAUCAAAGUUGCAAAUAAAA